rnacentral:rRNA from 1 species
UACAGAGGGUGCAAGCGUUAAUCGGAAUUACUGGGCGUAAAGCGCGCGUAGGUGGUUUGUUAAGUUGGAUGUGAAAUCCCCGGGCUCAACCUGGGAACUGUAUUCAAAACUGACAAGCUAGAGUAUGGUAGAGGGGUGGUGGAAUUUCCUGUGUAGCGGUGAAAAUGCGUAGAUAUAGGAAGGAACAUCAGUGGCGAAAGGCCGGCC